rnacentral:miRNA from 1 species
GCCGGGGUGGUAGAGUUUGACAGGCAAGCAUGUGCGUGUAGAGGCGAGUAGUGCUUGCCUGUCUAACUCGCUAGUCUCGGC